AUUUGGUGUAAAUUGAAAUAAUAAACAAAAGGUUCUAUGAAAUGUACUUACACUUUGUGUCUAAGAUGAAGAUGAUCAAGCAAAAAAAGAACCGAUCACGUAAGCUUUUCCAACGUUUGGUACACAUCUCAACUGAAAAACACUGACAGCCUCACCAUUUCACCAAAUAUGUGGCAUUCAAAUCACAAAACACUCGCUAAAACAAUUAUUCACCAAGUCAACUGGACGAUUUUCCCGCAAUUUCUCAUUUACAAAAUGUCACUACCAAUUAUUGCCAAUUGUUGUGUGUGUAAACGUUUCAAUUUCGCAUACCGCAAUGAUGAGAACAUGACUCCAAAUUGACAACGCUAGUUUCUAAGUUCAUAUAUUCUGAGCGGAAAAAAGAAGAAAAAAAAUCA